GGGCGGGGGACCCUUGAACACUACAAAGGAAACUGUAAAAGGCACAAAUACAUAAACCUGAGAAGCAGCAAACCACAGUUUCUUUGUGAGCUCCUCAGUGAGUCAUUUUCAAGAUGCUGUCUGCAGCCAGUUUCAAAGCGGAAGCGCACGGCAAUUAGUCUUGCCGUUUCCAGACAAGCCAGAAACUCUCCCGACACUCGUUUUUUUUUUUUUUUUUUUUUUUUUCCUUCUAAAAAGCCCCUUUUGCAGUUUCUGAAAUAGCCUUUCUUGCUUCCACCCCCACCCGCCGCGUAACUGCAGCUUAUCCUCGGAAUGAUUCGGUUCCGAAAACGUAACAGAGACCUUUAAAAAAAAUUUUAGCUCUCGCCCCCAAUUUAAUCCCCCCUCCUUCUUAAAAAAAACAAUAAAAUAAAAUAAAAUAAAAAAGUUCUAGUAACAGUACAGGCCAGCAGGCAGUUGGAAGUUAAAGAACUGAUAACUUCAAGAGCAUCCCUUGCCUGGCCCAUGUCCCAAAUCCGAAUCCGGACCAGCAGACUCGGUCGGCUUUUAAAUGUCCAAUUGACUGGGCGUGCGCCUGGGGCGGUGACCUGGGCGGGGGUCACCUGCCCAGAGAGUGGACACGCAGCCCGGUGCUCCACAUCUCCACUGCCCACGUCCUCCACCCCCUCUCCAUCCCUGUGCCCUCUCUGGAAUUGAGCACCCGCGCCUUGGUGCCCAUCCUGAAGGGAUCCCGACCGCAGCCCCAGCUUGAGGUUAUCUUCAGGGCCAUCAAGAGAACCGUGGGCCUCGGGAGAGAGUGUGUCAAUGUGUCAGGCAAGUCAUUUGUGAGUGGCGCACCACUGUCUUGGGGAAGAUGGCAGGAGUUAGAGACACAACGCCUAUACAGCUGCUUGGAAAGAAAGCUCAAGAAACCUGUACAGGUCUCACUAGAGAUUUAGCUUGGAGGAAGCUGAUCCCCCAGAACACAUUCAUCUUAUAAAACUGAAAAGCUAUAACCAUGAAGAACAACCUCACCCCCACCCUUACCCUGACUAAGCCUUUGGAAAGACUCAUUCUACUCCUUGCUCCUAUGAAUUCUUCAUGUAAGAUACUUCACGAAACAUUUGCCUACCACUGACUUAGCCAACAAAAUCAUGUAUCCUUUUUGAUUGUUCAAUUAAAGAACAAACGCUUUCUGUUUCAUCUUGGUUUGCUUUAGUUUUGCCUUUUGAAUUUUGUGACAGGGUCUGGUUACACAGCUCAGGCUUACCUCAGAUUACUGGUCCUCCAGCAUAUACCACCUUGCUGACAAUGGCUUGACUUUUAAACCACUUUCUUCCUUGUUCUGAAGAAGGCCUUUAUGUGUCAUGUCAGAUGAAAAUCUCAGCAUCCUUAACAACCUUCACGUCCAAUAAUUUCACCUUCAGAGUAAACUGAGCCUCAUUUAGUUAUUCUUACUUGGUCUUCUGAAGAGGUGAACAACCACUGGUUGUUCCAGUCACAGCCCUGAGAUGCUCCUUCAAGACUCAAUUCAAGUCUCUGAACAGACCUGAGCCUCAUUCCUGAUGGUUUCACAUCAUAGCUGCUUGCUCAGGGCCUCACCCCUGGGAGGCUGAUGUCAAACCCAGGAAUCUGUAUUUUUUCAAAGCUCCACCCAUACCACCUUUGUCCUUGAAAAGCACAUGUAAAUGCCUUGUCCAUCCCUUACUCACUUCACAUCUGGCCUCCUCCAAGCAGCCUUCCAAGAUCAACCAGAUAAACCACCUAGACCAUCUCUCCUUACCCAUAUACACUACUGUAUUUGAACUUGGUGGGGACC